rnacentral:rRNA from 1 species
UACGGAGGAUCCGAGUGUUAUCCGGAUUUAUUGGGUUUAAAGGGUGCGCAGGCGGCACGGCAAGCCGGCGGUCAAAUCGCGGGGCUCAACCCCGCCCAGCCGUCGGAACUGCCGGGCUAGAGUGGGCGAGAAGUGCGCGGAAUGCGUGGUGUAGCGGUGAAAUGCAUAGAUAUCACGCAGAACUCCGAUUGCGAAGGCAGCGCACCGGCGCCCUACUGACGCUCAGGCACGAAAGCGUGGGUAUCGAACAGG